UUUAUCCUCUCUGGCUUUGCAACAUGCCCACAAUAUUGAAAACUCAAAAUAACCUUUAACGAACAUGUUAUUGGUUUCCAUCGCUAAAGUUGGCGAUGUCGGAGACAUUGUCUACGUUAGCUUUAGUGACACCUAAUCAAAUACACAUAUCUUCAUCGAAUUUUUAUCAUUGUAGCCGGAACAAGUUUUCUAUGAAACCAAUUUUAUGGAAAUUAAAUGAAUUAAUCAAUCAAUUUAAAAUCUAUAUUGGCUAUUAACCAUUACAUAAGGACUCCGAAAUUUCUGCUGGAACUAGUUCAAUAUGGAACUAUUGUAAAAGGAAAAGUAAUUUUUCUAUGGAAAUUAUCUUCGAUGUUUCGUGGCGAUUUUAAGCUGAAAAUCUCCACAGCCGUCGAUUACUUCAUCGGAAUUUUGUCGUUGUAACUGUUGCACGAUAUCAUCAAGUCGUACAUUAAAAAUCUGACACACUAGCUCACACGGCCUCCGGAUGGCAAGAUUUCCUAGAAACUUUCUGGUUCUAACUAACUUCGCGAGAAACUAAAUUACCCGUGACUACGUUCACCUGAUCGAUUUGCUGGUCCUACUUCAGAGCUACUGAGCGUCUCAAAUAAUUGAUGUGAUCAAUGUGGACGCAGCAGUUCCUAUCGAUAUUAAAAUAGUAAAAAAUGGAGAGACAGCUAAAGGAGAACAAAAAAUCGUAAUGAUGAUACCGGAUAAGAAACCCUUAAUCUCAAGACGAAUAGAAAACUACGAAAAUGAUUUCCGUAUUUCAUCUUAACACCUCGAAAAUGUUUAUAUUUAUAUAAAUAAUUUUUUACUGAAAUAAAUUCGAAAAUG